CAGAAUCAUAGAAUGUUAACACUGGCUUCUUACAGAGGCUGGAAAUCCAUCCUUCAUUUCACAUAGAAGCCAAUGAGGUCCAGAGAAGUUUUAUGAGUUCCCUCAAGGUCACGCAGGAAAAAUAGAUAAAGCCAAAACUGGAAGCCAGCUCACCAAAGCCCUGGAAGAUAUUCAAGAAGAGCUUGUAUAACAAGUGGCAUGCAUCAUUUCCUUUAGAUUCCAGCUAUCAGUGAUCAGAAAACGUGACCGUUUUGAACUUAUUAAUAAUGAGUGUGGAUUGCUAAAGUUUAAUUGAUCGUGGAUCAACGUGUGUUGAGCAUUCCACAUAUAGGCCCCAGAGACAUCUCAAAAUCAACAUAUCUAGAACCAAAUGCAUGAUCUUCUCUCACAAGCUUGUUCCUUCCUCUUUGUGCCUCAUCCUGUCAAAUGACACCACCAUCCAGCUAAGCAUUAUCUUUACUUCUUAGUCACCAGUGGUAUAUUAUAAAAUAUUCAGCACAGAAGUUCAAAGAACAGUGUCAGUCCUGGCUCUGCAAUUUAUUGCUGCAUGAUCUUGAGCAAACUGCUUAAGAUUUCUGAGCUUCAGUGUCACCUUUCUUGAAAAUAGAGAUAUAAAUAGUGACUAUUGAGAAUGAAAUGAAAUUGUGCAAAUAUGAC
rnacentral:lncRNA from 1 species